rnacentral:rRNA from 1 species
UACGGGGGGGGCAAGCGUUGUUCGGAAUUACUGGGCGUAAAGGGCGCGUAGGCGGCCUUCUAAGUCGGACGUGAAAUCCCUCGGCUUAACCGAGGAACUGCGUCCGAUACUGAAAGGCUUGAAUCCGGGAGAGGGAUGUGGAAUUCCAGGUGUAGCGGUGAAAUGCGUAGAUAUCAGGAGGAACACCAGUGGCGAAGGCGGCUUUCUGGACGGUAACUGACGCUGAGACGCGAAAGCGUGGGGAGCAAACAGG